UACGUAGGCAGCGAGCGUUGUUCGGAGUUACUGGGCGUAAAGCGCGCGCAGGCGGUCUUCCAAGUCAGUGGUGAAAGCCUGGAGCUCAACUCCAGAACUGCCAUUGAAACUGUUAGACUUGAGUACGAGAGAGGUGAGUGGAAUUCCCAGUGUAGAGGUGAAAUUCGUAGAUAUUGGGAAGAACACCAGUGGCGAAGGCGGCUCACUGGCUCGUAACUGACGCUCAGGCGCGACAGCGUGGGGAUCAAACAGG
rnacentral:rRNA from 1 species